GACGUAGGGCGCGAGCGUUGUCCGGAUUUAUUGGGCGUAAAGAGCUCGUAGGCGGUUCGGUUAGUCGGGUGUGAACACUUUGGGCUCAACCCAAAGCGUGCACUUGAUACUGCCGUGACUAGAGUUCGGUAGGGGAGUGGGGAAUUCCUAGUGUAGCGGUGAAAUGCGCAGAUAUUAGGAGGAACACCGGUGGCGAAGGCGCCACUCUGGGCCGAAACUGACGCUGAGGAG
rnacentral:rRNA from 1 species